rnacentral:rRNA from 1 species
GGGUCAGUAGGUUGGUCGUGCCACCGGUACGUACUGGUCUCACUGAUUCCUCCUUCCUGAAGAACCGUAAUGCCAUCAAUUUGGUGUUGCGGGGAACCAGGACUGUUACUUUGAAAAAAUUAGAGUGUUUAAAGCAAGCUAACGCUUGAAUACAUUAGCAUGGAAUAAUGAAAUAGGACGAUCGAUCCUAUUUUGUCGGUUUCUAGGAUUGACGUA